CCCCCAAAUAAAUCGGCCG
rnacentral:miRNA from 1 species